ensembl:lncRNA
GCAGCUGUGGCUUCGCCCAGUAGGAGGGCUCUGGUCGGAGGUAGGGUUCCGCUGAAAGGGACAAGGCAAGCCCUGCUUGAAGCUGAGCUGGGCAGUCAGGCCGCAGCCUGAGCAGUCAGGGAGCUAAAGUGUGACAUCUGCUGGGAUGGAGUGCAAGGGCCUAUACCACUUCCUGUUCCGGCAAGUGCCUGGGAGGGUCUGCUGCAACUUCAACCCAGAGCUCUGUGGUCCGAGCCAUUCCUACUCAUGGCUGUAGAAAGGGCCCCUGCUCUCUUCCAGUGCAGUUACUGCCAUUGCUCCUUGGGGGAGGUGUACCUUCUCUAGUGGGGACCCCUAGAGGAACCCAAAGCCAAGGUCCUCUCCAUGGAAGAGAGAGCCCUCUGAUUUUCAUUGGCCCUGCCCACUAGGGAGAAGCAGACUGAGACCUGCAGGCUGUCCUGAGGCGUCCUACCAGGAGGGCCGCAGCCAGUGCCAAAGCUGGAGCCAGGGUGGAGGAGCCUGUGGGAAAUGUCAGCCUCGCUUCCUGGCAAGGGACCCAGUGAUUACAGCGGUCCUUAGACGCUGCUGUUUCAGGAGGUCUUGCAGAGUGCUGUGCUAUGCUGUUUUUUUGACCUUCUGUAGUCAACACUCUGUUCCACUAGUUUAUGAUGUAAAAGGGACUUCUGGCUUCUGAAUCUCUGCCUCCUUGCCAGCACUGCUCUCCAGUUGCCAUGGGCCACCUUCCUGCUGAUGGUCAUCCUUUUGAGGAGGUUGUCCUCAGCUUGGGUCCCACCAAGGGAGGGAGGAAGGCAGUGUUAAAAAGGUCGUAACUGGUUCCAAAGAUUGUCUUAGCAGAUCAUACAUGACCAUGCGAUUUCCUGGGCUUUUCUUGUCAUCUUUCACAAGGACUUAGAGUGUCUUGGAUGGUGAGGUUCCCUCCAAACCUUCGCUCCCCCCAUCUUCUGGUUGCUCUGCUUCAUCUCUGGAAAGCACAGGGAGAAGAGAGUAGGCGUGUUGAAUAAAGCUAGAUUUGAGAUGACUGCUGGAUCAUUACGGGGCGUGCUUAUGAUAAGUGGGUUUUUCCAAGGCAAAAACUGGGAUACAAGACUCACUAGUGGAUUUUUGCUAAUUGAAGGCAGGGAAACAGAAGCAGCCGAGGAAAAGGUUGGGGCUGGGAAGUCCAGUAUUUUCUUUCCAGAUCAAAUCCUUUUUUUCCCCAGCAUCUUUAUCAUUCAUCUCCACUUUACUCUACAUGCGGACACUGGGUCACCCUCACCUGUGCGGUGGAGGAGGGAAUCGCAGUCUGACGUCGUCUGAUGCGUGUGGGAAAUUCUCCGUUGUCCGCUGUAUGUGGAGCAGCAUGCGUCUGGUCUUUUGGCUGCUACCUUUCUUUGGAGUUGCUAGCUUUUCUUAUUCCCUAAAGGACACUGUUUUUCCCAUUAAAAAGUAAAGCAUGACAGUGUGAUGGGUACUCAAUACAGGCAACCCUUGUUUUAUUGCACUUUGCAGAUAGUGCGUUUUUUACAAGACCUUCCACCAGCAAAAGCAUUACGACUCUCUGAAGGCUCGGAUGAUGGUUAGCAUUUUUUAGCAAAGUAUUUUUUAAUUAAGGUAUGUACAUUGUACAUUCAGAUGUAGUGCUGUUGCACACUUAAUAGACUAUAGUAGAGUGUAAACAUAGCUUUUAUAUGCACUGGGAAACCGAAAAAUUUGUGUGACUCACUUAAUUGCAAUAUUUGCCUUAUUGCGGUGGUCUGGAACUGAACCCGCAAUGCCUCUGAGGUACGCCUGUGUGAAAAUACGGUGGAAAAGCAGGGGAAGAAGAAGAUGUGCUCACAAGUACAACAUUUCGAUAUACUUCUUGCCAGAUUUUCCUAUACUUGGAGGUGUUUGUUUUACAUAGCUUUGGUCAUACUAUAUGCCACAGAACUUUGUAACCUACUUUUUUCCACUUAACCCAGGGAAGUGCUUCUGCCAUAGUGCUGACAGUGCCACACAGCCUUCUCAUCUCCUCUGUAAUAUGUCAUUGAGUUGAUCCUCGGGACCCACAGUCUCAUCAUGUCUCGCACACAGGACGGCAGAGGGUACAGGUGGUGGCUUGGUCGGUUGGCGAUCUCCCGACAGCUGGAUCUCCGGCAAUGUGAAGCUUUUGGGUUUUCCUCCUCCUUUUAGUUUCACUUAAUUUUUUUAAUUUUCUUUUCUUUUUUGUCUUUUUCUUUUCUUUUCUUUUUUUAAUUUAAACGAUUAAGACUUCAGAAGAGCAGGAAGCUAUGCUGUGGACAGGCACCAAUUUCUUUAAAGAAAUUCAACAUGGACAAAGCAUACGUAUAAGUUUCCUUUCUAAUUUUUAUAAGGGGUUUGGGAGCUAUUUUGUUUUUGUCCUUUAUAUUUCCCUGUUGUCUUUCUUGUACCCAUCUCUCAGCUCUGCGUAUCACACCUCACUUCCCCAGAGAAGGCCUGCCUCUCCGGGGAGAAUUUUGGGAUUUCUCCUGGGAUGGGGGCAUUAAGACAGAAGGAGGCAUUGGGCCACCUCCCCACCAGAUGCAGGAACGGCCGGACUCUGGCGGCUGCUCCUGUCUAGCCCUGGGGCCUUGGAAAUGAUCAGAGGCAAAGAACACCUGGAAGAAGAAGGCCAGGGUUUGGCCAGGAGAACUUGAGAAAGAAGGUCUAACCUGUGCGCUUGUUCUCUUUACGUCGUCGGAAGCCCCGGGCCACACCAGGCCUUAUAGUGGGGGGACUCCAUUCCCUCUUCUGCCCUUUCUGACCGGGAGCUCUGAGGAGGGACAGAAGGUGACCAUCUCCCACUUCCUGGCAGUUGAGCGGCCAGCGCCCCAGUUCUGCAAGCCCACCUUUCCAGAGGAAGUUCCCCAGGAAAAAACUGUCGUGCCAAACCUCUGCCCGGGACACAGCGGGGUCUUCCUCGGGCAUUUGUCACUCCUGUGAGGUCAGCACCCACCACCUACUGCCUCCUGGAUUGUCUUCCUCCUAGAUGUGUUCACCAAAUGUCCAGGUUAUCACAGAGACUGCCGAUGUCCCUGAGAUCCAGUUGUGACCAUUGCCAUAAGAACAGGGUGUCCUGAACUGGCCGCCACUGUCAUCUCCUGGCAGUGAAGGGUGUGCCCUGUAUGCUGGGCGCCAUGGUGUCACAUAUGGUGACAGUGUCAGGCACCAUCUCCCUCACUCCCAGGGACUUACUGUUAGGUGUCUACCCUCCAUGUAAAUGUGUCUGGUGGGAAAAGAGUGGACCUGCAGAGAGGUGACCAGGUGGACACCCCGCAGCCGCUAGGUGUCCAUCUGGGGCCUGGCCACUUUAAAGCUUCCCGACGUGACUCCUUCGACCUCACCGCCAGUGUGGAUCUAAGCACCUCUGUGUAACCGUGCUGACACUCCUUACUGAUGCUCUUGCAGCCGCCGCCCUCGCAGGCUUCUGAACCUGUCUGUUCUGUCCCCUUGCAAGGAGGGUGGGAGGCGCUAUUCCUGUGUUGUCCCUCUCACCAGGAAACAACUUUGGCUUCUCCAAAGGCUUUUCACCCGAUUAUGGCCGAGCAGGAAAGGGGCUUUGGGGAAGGAGAAAGGAAUUCCUCUUUUGUGUUUAAUUUUGUUUUUUGUUUUCUCUAAGCCAGCAUAGGUUCAAUAGGGGAGAUAGUUGGAGGGCAGUUAAGUUGAUGUGUGACCAAGGGGGGCUUCCCCCUAAAAGCAGCAGUCCUUUGGCGCUGGCAGUUUGGGAGAGACCAGCACGGCAUCAGACCAGACUCGGCAAUAUGUUCACUCACGUUGUUUUCCCAACCCCUCAAAUACUAAGGCUACUCUUCCUCCUGGGCAGACGAUUGGCUGUGGUUGGCAGAUCCGGCAGGGCUGCAGGUGGUACCCAGGCCCCUCCCUUCCUUGGCUGAAAUCCUUGGUGAUCGCCUGUCUCUCGGCUCUUCUCUGACUUCCCAGGCGACCUCCUGAGUGUAGCCUGAGCCGCAGCUGGAGGCUUGGUUGAGCGGCAUCCCCUCAUUGCAGUGUGCCCUCCUUCUCGGCCCCACCACCCUGCUUCCCUGGGGGCGGCUGUCUCUGUACAGGAGCAGAUGGGAAAAACAGUCCCCGGACUCGGCACCCCCAGCUCUCCCUGGCUCCAGCCCAUGCUCUAAAGUCCCUAGUGAGGGCUCAAGCCUGACAAGUCAUUCACCUUUUGCUUAAUCUUUUUUCUGCCCUCCCUGGUCUCAGCUCUGUCUAAACAAGGUCUUGGAGCUGUAGUGCUCCCCUUUAUUUUUCUUGGCACCAGAGUACCCCCUGUGGGUCACAGGAUGCCCAUACCUUUCGGGUGAACAGGCAACCAGCUUCCAUGCACCCUUAUCUGCAGGACUCCCAGCCAUCCUUGCUUGUUGAUGGGACCUCCUUCCCUAGGUCAUGAGGGCCAGCUCGUUAGCCCCCAAGUGCCUCCCUGUCCCUCUGCUGCUCUCUCCACUCAGUCCGCCUCAGGCACCCGGCCUGUUAGGUGGGAGUCAGCCUGGAGUGAGCGCUGCCUCUGCCCAGUCAGUGGCCCAGCCUUGGGGUCUGGCUCGGGGAGCUCCUGUCACCUUUCUUAGCCAUUUUCCACCUCUUCCCACCGUGGGUCCGCUUCCUCGCCUCUUCCUGCCGUUUCACCCUCUCCACCUGGGUCUUGGGCCUGGCAACAACCCUGUGGUGCGUCAUCUGAGUGCCACCAAGUUUGUUAGGCCUGUCCAAGUUCUAGGAGUUUCCAAACCUUAAAAUAGCAGUCAGUUAUUCUCUUCUCUCUGGAUCUGUGAAAAGGAUAGCCUCUUGGAGGGAGGUUCCGGGCCUCAGCCCCAUGGGUCUGAGCUCGGUUUCCCUUCAGGGAGAAGAAUCAGCAAGACAGAUCUUAGUGCCUUACUCCAUUGCCCUCCCCUCACCAGGCCACCUGGCUCAGUAGGAAGUACGCAUCUUUCUCCCUGUCUGGGUCCAUCUGUCACUUAAACUCUGUUCCCACUCACAGAUAGUCUAUGGGCAGGAUUACUCCCCCACAUGACCUCCCGACCCCUUCCUGCGGGCUGUGUCCAGGCACAUGUCUCCCCGCCCACCACCAGGGCACUCACUAGCAGCUUUAGCCGAGGACAGGAGAACUGUGCUUCAGACAGGUGCGCGUCUCUGCGUCUCACUACCCAGCAGGUCCCCUGCUUCUUACCUCUAGCCAGGAGGAUGCCACAGUCUGUUCACUCAAGAUGCUCCAUCUGACCCCCUUCUGGGCACUGGGGACUAAGGUCUCAGGCCUUAGUCUCAUCUCAUCCCAGAGGCAUUGGGACAGGAGAAUAGGAACUCUUUCCUCCCACCCGGACAUGGUUUGCCCACCUUGGCUGCCUUUCUGAGGGAGUGUAUUCAAUGUUUACUUAAGAAGUACCCUGUUUACAGCUGGAGGAGAAGUGUGCCCAACAGUGGGUGGAGCUCUGACUCUCUGGACAUGUAUGGCCUCAUGUAUGGCACGGCCAGUGGUGGUCCCAGAGCGAAUGAAGGCAGAGACGCCAGGGGCAGGGGUGCGCGCCCUGGACUUUCCCUGCCCCCUGGCCCUGCGGUGCUAAGACCACUCACCACCUUUCUCACAGCCCUCGUCCCCCUGGACGUUCCCACCUCUGUCAUUCCCUUCCUCCAAGGUUCUCAGCUCCUGAACAUAUCACUUGUCUCCUAGAAAGCCAGCGUUUGGAGCAAUAAGAUGAUUAUUUUUGCUUGAGUCUUUUUCUAAGAAAAGGAAAAGAGCUGGCAUUAUGGGAAUCUUCUUUCUUUUUAUGCUGUUGGCUGUUUACCUUCUUAGAAGACAGAUCUUAAUAGGAUGGAUGCCUGGGUUUCAGCCUUGGGGUAUCUUUUGGAAGCUUGGGAAAGCAAGAGUUGGGCUUUCACCCCCUAAGGAGGGGACCCUCUCUGCCCUCUCCUUGCUCCAUGCCAAGGCUGCCUGAGCUCCCAGCCCUGCCUGCCAGGUACACCUCCCACCUUUGAUCCUGCUCAUGCGCCCCACACACAGACAUCUGGGGGCACCGGUGGCUCUGAUUCUAAGUGGGGCUCUUGGGUUAUUGCUCCCCAAUGACUCUUUUCCCCUUCCUGGGCCUUAUGGCAGCCCCCAGGCAGAGAUGGCUACCAGAGUCUCCUAGGAACUGGCAACUUGACAACAGCCAAGCUUGCACUCAGCUCUUCAGGCCACCAGGCCCAGAGGGAGUGCCAUGGCCAUUCUCGCACACCAGGCUGAGGCACAGCGUUCGGGACAACACAAGCCCAUCUCUGAUCCUGCCUGCCUAGGUCUAGGGGCAGGGUCUCCUGUCUGGAGAGGCCCUCGGGGACACCAGGAGGUGUGCCAGGAAGGUGGGCUGAUGUGAGCGUCUGCAGCCCUCACCAAGAGACGAAUCCACUGCCGCAAGUUCCCCGGAGCUCCCCUAGGAUUGCAGGGGUUGACAGAAAGGAGACCCCAGCUUCUUAUUGCAUGAGAGGCCACAGGACGAAAGGGGUUUAUUUAGGGACACUUUAAAGAAAUCUUUUGUGCCCCAGGGGCCUCUCUCCAUCAGAGCAGGAGAGUAUGUUGCAACGAUUUAACAUUCGUGUGGGGCCAACUUGGGUGUGAGGGAGGUUUUAACCGAGGCACAAAGUUAGUUUCAAAUACUAGUUAAUAAAUCUAUUUUUCUUUAUUUUCUUUUUUUGCACAGAAGCUGGUAAUCUAGGACCUACGUGUGAACAACUUUAUAUGAAUAUUUUUUGUACUUGGUUUACUUGGGUUGGUAUGAUACAUUAUAUUUAAGUUCCUUGAACACUGUGGAUCCCCCUAAUGUGUAUGGAUGACUGAGGCUUUGUAAAUUAAGGGACGUUUGUGUGAAUAAAGUUAUUUUAUGGGGUCAAAGAAGCCAUAUGUGAUUUGAAAACGAGUGCAUUGUGAUUUUGUUGCCACCAUUGAGAGGUAGAAGCCAGCCUGGCCAUAGCUCCGGUCCCAGUGGGUGAGCACAGGAGAGAAGAGGACAGGACACUCAGCUGGAGGAGAAAACUGCCUGGGGGCUUCGACUGAACCUCCCAGGCCGCACCUGGGAGCAGGCACUCGGAAAGCGAGGAGCCUGCCCUCCUGGAGCGGGAAUCCACUCCAAGCCAGGUCUGCCCUUCACCGGGGCCAGGGCCUGG